rnacentral:rRNA from 1 species
GUUCGGGUUAAGUCCCGCAACGAGCGCAACCCUCGCCUCUAGUUGCCAGCAUUCGGUUGGGCACUCUAGAGGGACUGCCGGCGACAAGUCGGAGGAAGUGGGGAUGACGUCAAAUCAUCAUGCCCCUUAUGACCUGGGCUACACACGUGCUACAAUGGGCGGUACAAAGGGCUGCGAACCCGCGAGGGGGAGCGAAUCCCAAAAAGCCGCUCUCAGUUCGGAUUGCAGGCUGCAACUCGCCUGCAUGAAGCCGGAAUCGCUAGUAAUCGCGGAUCAGCAUGCCGCGGUGAAUACGUUCCCGGGCCUU